AGCAGCCGCGGUAAUUCCAGCUCCAAUAGCGUAUAUUAAAGUUGUUGCAGUUAAAAAGCUCGUAGUUGAACUUCGGAAUCAAUGGAUUGGUCAUGCCGUUGGUAUGUACUGGUCAUAUUGGUUCUCACCUUCUAAGGAACCAUAAUGUCAUUCAUUUGAUGUUUUGGGGAAUUAGGACUGUUACCUUGAAAAAUUAGAGUGUUUAAAGCAGGCUAACGCUUGAAUACAUUAGCAUGGAAUAAUGAAAUAGGACAUCGCAUUCUAUUUUGUUGGUUUCUAGGAUCGAUGUAAUGAUUAAUAGGGAUAGUUGGGGGCAUUAGUAUUCAAUUGUCAGAGGUGAAAUUCUUGGAUUUAUUGAAGACUAACUACUGCGAAAGC
rnacentral:rRNA from 1 species